rnacentral:rRNA from 1 species
GUGGGGAAUAUUGGACAAUGGGCGAAAGCCUGAUCCAGCCAUGCCGCGUGUGUGAAGAAGGUCUUCGGAUUGUAAAGCACUUUAAGUUGGGAGGAAGGGCAGUAAGUUAAUACCUUGCUGUUUUGACGUUACCGACAGAAUAAGCACCGGCUAACUUCGUGCCAGCAGCCGCGGUAAUACGAAGGGUGCAAGCGUUAAUCGGAAUUACUGGGCGUAAAGCGCGCGUAGGUGGUUCGUUAAGUUGGAUGUGAAAGCCCCGGGCUCAACCUGGGAACUGCAUCCAAAACUGGCGAGCUAGAGUACGGUAGAGGGUGGUGGAAUUUGCUGUGUAGCGGUGAAAUGCGUAGAUAUAGGAAGGAACACCAGUGGCGAAGGCGACCACCUGGACUGAUACUGACACUGAGGUGCGAAAGCGUGGGGAGCAAACAGGAUUAGAAACCCUUGUAGUCC